CGGAGGGUGCGAGCGUUGUCCGGAAUCACUGGGCGUAAAGGGCGCGUAGGCGGUGGGGUAAGCGUGCGGUGAAAGCUCGGGGCUCAACCCCGAGUCGGCCGUGCGAACUGCUCGACUGGAGCCUGUCAGAGGCGGGUGGAAUUCCGGGUGUAGCGGUGGAAUGCGUAGAGAUCCGGAAGAACACCGGUGGCGAAGGCGGCCCGCUGGGACAGAGCUGACGCUGAGGCGCGACAGCGUGGGGAGCAAACAGGAUUAGAUACCCUGGUAGUCCACGCCGUAAACGAUGGGUACUAGGUGCUUGGGGGAGCGACCCCCUGGGUGCCGGCGCUAACGCAUUAAGUACCCCGCCUGGGGAGUACGACCGCAAGGUUG
rnacentral:rRNA from 1 species